rnacentral:other from 1 species
UACGAGCUGCGUUGUUCGUAAAAAAUAAGUAAGUUUUAACCUUUAAGCUGUAAUCGGGAGUUUUAAAUAAAAUCGGGAAUGACAGGCCUCUGUCUAUAUGACAAGGAGGACAGGCAGGAACGUUUUUGCGGACACCCACUUUGAGGAGUGGUGGUUUAAAACUUUCUUAAUCUAAUCAAUACGGCAAUAGCGGCUUAUCU